UCAGCUACACAUUUUCUCCUCUCUUCUUACUAGGAUGAACUGUGAAUGAUUUAGCUAUAGAAAAAUGUGACAGCCACUUAAUACGUGCAAAGAAAAUCCACCUCAACAGUAAUUUAUUAUCCAGACCCUGCUCCAGAGCAAAGGAAUUCUUCAUACUACUUUCUGAACACUUAGAAGAAAACAGGAGGCAAAGAUGUCUUGCCUGAACUUGAUAAAUAGAAAGGUUUCAUAUAUGAGACUAAGUCUCAAAAUCUGAAAGAAGAAUAGCACAGAUUUUCUAUUUUCCUAUUCAUAAACUGAAGAAUUGGGUAUUUCUGAAGCACAUGAAGCAAAUAAAAGUAUUUUUUAUUAUUAUUCA
rnacentral:lncRNA from 1 species